GACGAACGCUGACAGAAUGCCUAACACAUGCAAGUCGAAGGCGAAGCUGUGCUCUCACAGCGUAGCGAAGGGGGACGGGUGAGAAACUCGCUAGGGACUUGCCCUGAAGUCAGGGAUAACAGACGGAAACGACUGGUAAUAUUCGGUAAAGUGAGGCGUCCCCAUGUCAAGCGCCAGGGAAAGAGUUGCUGCCGGAGAGGCUUGCGUCCUAUCAACUUGUUGGUGGGGUAAUGGCCUACGAGGGCGAUGAUCGGCAGUCGGCCUGAGAGGCUGGACGGCCACCAGGGGACUGCGGUGCCGCCCUUACUCCUACGGGAGGCAGCAGUGGGGAAUAUUGGUCAAUGGGGGCCACCCUGCUCCAGCAGUUCUGUGUGCACGAUGAAGGUUGUCUGAUUGUAAAGUGCUUUCAGCAGGGAAGAAAAAAAUGACGGUACCUGCAGAAGAAGCGCCGGCUAACUACGUG
rnacentral:rRNA from 1 species